CUACGGGAGGCACCAGCUGAGGAAAUUUUACAAUGCUCGCAAGAGUGAUCGAGUAAGCCAGAGUGUUUCUCUUAGAGAAACUUUUGUCUGCUGUAAAAAGGCAGAUGAAUAAGGACUGGGUAAGACCGGUGCCAGCCGCCGCGGUAAUACCGGCGGUCCAAGUUGCAUCCACAUUUAUUGGGUCUAAAACAUCCGUAGCUUGUUUUGUAAGUUUCUUGUGAAAUCUCAUAUCUCGAGUAUGAGGCGUGCAAGAAGUACUGCAUUGCUAGAGACCGGAAGACGCAAAGAGUACGAUUAAGGUAACGGUAAAAUGUGUUAAUCUUGAUUGGACUAACAAUGGCGAAGGCACUUUGCGAGUACGGAUCUGACAGUGAGGGAUGAAGGCUAGGGGCGCAAAAGGGAUUAGAUACCCCAGUAGUC
rnacentral:rRNA from 1 species